UUUUAACUGGUGGGUUAUUUUUACAAAUAUGAGGAUUAUUUUGACCCCUUUAACCAAAUAACCCUAUUUGUUUCAUAAGAUGGACAAGGUCUGGCAUGGAAUUAGACCAGGUGCCUUUGGUGUCUGCUUUGUCAGCCUGUGCUGAAUUUGGGGGACUUGAAUUUGUCAAGUGGAUCCACUUGUACAUUGAUGAGAGAUUGCAUCUUGGGAAUCAGCCAUUGCUUGUGUCUUUGAGUAAUUCGCUCAUACACAUGUGUGCCAGCUGUGGUCUAAUUGAUAAAGCUUACAGAGUCUUCAUAGGGAUGCAACAAAGAAACAUUGUUUCUUGGAAUACCAUGAUCACAGGUUUUGCAAACCAAGGCUAUGGGGAAGCAACUCUUUGUGUGUUUUGAUGGAUACAGAGCUUGGGAAUGAAUGACACAAUACGUUAUACAAUAACCUUCAUUAGAGUUCUGUGUGUCUGCGGCCAUUCUGGAUUUCUUGACCAGGUCCAUCAUUUUUGUUUUGAGUUCAGAAUCUGGGGAGAUCCUGAUUUGGGUGGGUCACAAUAUAUUGAGGUUUGAUUAUGUUUGAAUUUGGGAGUUGGGGAGAUUGGUCAGGUACCAUCAGAGCCCAAGUGUUUAGUAGAUUACUUGGCAUUGUUGACUCAGAGGUUUGGCAGGAGAGCUGGGGAUAUGAAGCAUGUAAAUGAUAUGGGGGUUGAUAACAUUAAGAAAAUCUAACCUCUUUGGCAAUCAAAUAUGGUGAAAAAGUCUAGCUGGCAGCUGCAAUUACCUAUUCCACUACAACAGUUUGGGAACAGAAAAGUAUGUAGAUUUUGUUAUUGAAGUGUAGGGAAGUUACAAGGAAAUCUCUUACUUUCUUUUGUCUUUCAUUGAACCCAAGAUUAUUGGUUCUCUUGGAGUAAUCUUUCUUGCCAUGAUUUUUCUGGAGCUUAGAUUAUGGUCGGAUAAAUCUGGAAGUUCUUUAGUGUUGUGCAAUGGCUUUGUUCUUGGAGUCAAGCCUCCUGACAUACUUACAACAGACAGUUGGAUUUCUCCAAAUACCAUUACAAGGACUCGUGCUAAUGGAAAAGCUUCUUCAGAGGGAAUGAGUCUAAACAUGAGUACCCCUUCAUCAAGUCUGAAGUUUGAAAAUCAUUCAGUUUUGAAAAUCAUUCAGCACUAUCUCCCAGUGAUCACAGCAGUGUGGAAGGAGUCUUAAAUCUAGUGGAACUUAACACAAACAAACCAGACCCUUUCAACUUAGGUCCACUCAUGAAAUUGAAAGAGUCCCUUCAGCCCGUGGAAGGAAAAGCUGGGAUAGAGUCUCUUAAUAUGCCUUCACAGCAGCUGCAUCUGAGGAUUUCUGUAGCUAUGCUGGCUGCUUGGAUCCUGCAGAAGUUUCUGCUGGUUCUAUCAGUGCAUCUCUUGUUCCAUUUUAUUGUGGGACUCAGAGAAUGCAAAAAUUGCACAAAGAUGUCAAGUUGCUGCUAUGUUGUACUCAACUGAGAGUCAGGUUUGGGAUAAGUACAAAAUUUGUUGAUCGUGUUAGGCAGCCAUGGUUGAGUUUUGAGGUGGAUGAAUCUCCAAGCCUAUGCCAGGUUCUUGAUGCAUGUGGCCAGGUUGUUCACAUGUCCAUGGAUUCUGGUAGCAGAUCCAAGUGGAGGCCUGUUGUGACCUGAAAGAAUGGGUUUUUAAACUCUCCUACCAUAUGAUAA